CAGAUUUUAUUAUUUAAACAAGCUUUCGUUGGUGGGGAUGCAACUACCUGAAAAAUAUAAGGAGAAUUUCGACGCUUCGAGCGAAGGACCUUCGUAACUCUAGACUAUUGGUACUACCAACACUACCUGAGUUCAGAUAUCGAAAGGAUCCAAAGACGAUGUUUAAGAAGGAUAUUUCCUGAAAGCUCUUAUGAAGAGGCGCUCGAAUUAGCCAAUCUAGAAACCUUACGAAACAGAAGAGAAGCAGCAUGUAAAAAACUUUUCCUUCAAGCACACUUGGAUACCAAGCAUAAACUACAUCAAAUGAUCCCAGAGGAAAACGGGUGUACAUAUCCCUUAAGGAAAUGUCAUAAAUUUCUAGUCCCUAAGUUUCGA